rnacentral:rRNA from 1 species
GAUGAACGCUGGCGGCGUGCCUAAUACAUGCAAGUCGAGCGAACAGACGAGGAGCUUGCUCCUCUGACGUUAGCGGCGGACGGGUGAGUAACACGUGGAUAACCUACCUAUAAGACUGGGAUAACUUCGGGAAACCGGAGCUAAUACCGGAUAAUAUAUUGAACCGCAUGGUUCAAUAGUGAAAGACGGUUUUGCUGUCACUUAUAGAUGGAUCCGCGCCGCAUUAGCUAGUUGGUAAGGUAACGGCUUACCAAGGCAACGAUGCGUAGCCGACCUGAGAGGGUGAUCGGCCACACUGGAACUGAGACACGGUCCAGACUCCUACGGGAGGCAGCAGUAGGGAAUCUUCCGCAAUGGGCGAAAGCGUAACGGAGCAACGCCGCGUGAGUGAUGAAGGUCUUCGGAUCGUAAAACUCUGUUAUUAGGGAAGAACAAAUGUGUAAGUAACUAUGCACGUCUUGACGGUACCUAAUCAGAAAGCCACGGCUAACUACGUG